GUUCUUGGUCUGUCUCCUCCCCUCUCACUGCAGACAUGAAACACUGGCUGAGAAACAUCCUGAUUCUGACUCUCUGGAUAGAGUGUAAAGGAGAAGACAAAGUGACCCAGCCAACAGGAGAUGUCACUGCUGUUCAAGGACUCACACUGACUCUACAAUGUACAUUUGAGACCAGUGACGCAAAUCCAACUUUGUUUUGGUACAAACAGGAAGUGAAUGAUUAUCCCAGAUACAUGCUUUAUAAAUACAAAUCAGGAUCAGAAACAUUUAAAGCUCCUGAGUACCAGGAUGAAAGAUUAGACGCCAAGAACAACCAGACCUCAUUUCCACUGAAGAUCCAGAAGCUUCAUGUGUCAGACUCUGCUGUGUACUACUGUGCUCUGCAGCCCACAGUGACAGGAAACAGUAAAACUCUGAACAAUAACCUCUGGAGCAAAGACAACACAGUACUACACAACAUCCACGAGAGGGACUCACACACUGAUCCAACCAUGACACACAGGUUCUGGGUUGUUCUGUGCAGAUGUCAGUAUCACUGUUGUCAUUCACCCGAUGCUGCUCUGUCAAACAGUCGGCUUGGAUUCACUGCAAACGACUCUUGA